AUGAAUUUGGAUUAUUUAAGUCAUGCCUUGCACGUGACUAGGCCGCUCUCGCACGUGCAGUUUCCUCAUCUUGCUGCUGCUGCUACUUCCUUGCCUACAGUUAAAGGACACAUCAAGGUUACUGGUAGAUCUACAGUUUCAGAUGUCAAUGGGCAUAAAGACACAAGUGCGAGGGAAAGAAGUAGAGAUGACACACUUACUAUUGUUAGAGACCGAAAAGUGAGCCCUAAUUCUCUUACUUCUCUCUCAUAG